UUUUUUUUUAGGAACUGCUUUUUUCUUCUCUCCUUUUCUCCACGUGAGGGGGUGCACAUAUCUGCAGUGGUGGUCGUGCACUCAGCGCUUCUGCUCUGUUGCCCCCCUCACAAUGGCGAGCAUCCUGUUGAGGAUAUUUUCGAUGUGAAAGACAUUGACCCGGAAGGCAAGAAAUUUGACCGAGUGUCUCGACUGCAUUGUGAGAGUGAAUCUUUCAAGAUGGAUCUCAUCUUAGAUGUAAACAUCCAGAUAUACCCUGUAGACUUGGGUGAUAAGUUCCGGUUGGUCAUAGCUAGUACCUUGUAUGAAGAUGGUACCCUGGAUGAUGGUGAAUACAACCCCACUGAUGACAGGCCUUCCAGGGCUGACCAAUUUGAGUAUGUAAUGUAUGGGAAAGUGUACAGGAUUGAGGGAGACGAAACUUCUACUGAAGCAGCAACACACCUCUCUGCCUACGUGUCCUAUGGGGGCCUGCUCAUGAGGCUGCAGGGUGAUGCCAACAACCUGCAUGGAUUUGAGGUGGAUCCCAGAGUUUAUCUGCUGAUGAAGAAACUGGCCUUCUCAACUAGGAGGGAAGCCAGCCUUGAUGCCUAGUCACUCAGGUCAUGGACACUGGUCAAGUAACAGAUGCUGUUGUUCACCUAUUAAGGAGAACACCUAUUAAAGAUCCCCUUUCUUCUGUGGGUGCAUCUUUAGCUGGUCUGGACUCAGUGGGAAACUGACUUGCCUGUGAAAGACCCAGUGGGAGAGCUUAAAAUGAAUCAGAAGUUGUUUUGUGUAUAUGAUUUUUUAAUUAAACUUUACUUUUUC